UACGUAGGGUGCAAACGUUGCCCGGAAUUAUUGGGCGUAAAGCGCACGUAGGCGGUUUGUUAAGUCGGAUGUGAAAUCCCUCGGCUCAACUGAGGAAGUGCAUCCGAAACUGGCAAGCUUGAGUACGAAAGAGGGUCGCGGAAUUCCCGGUGUAGAGGUGAAAUUCGUAGAUAUCGGGAGGAACACCGGUGGCGAAGGCGGCGACCUGGGUCGAUACUGACGCUGAGGUGCGAAAGCGUGGGGAGCAAACAGG
rnacentral:rRNA from 1 species